rnacentral:rRNA from 1 species
AGAGUUUGAUCAUGGCUCAGAUUGAACGCUGGCGGCAUGCCUAACACAUGCAAGUCGAACGAAGGCUUCGGCCUUAGUGGCGCACGGGUGCGUAACGCGUGGGAAUCUGCCCUCAGGUUCGGAAUAACAGCGAGAAAUUGCUGCUAAUACCGGAUGAUAUCGCGAGAUCAAAGAUUUAUCGCCUGAGGAUGAGCCCGCGUAGGAUUAGCUAGUUGGUGUGGUAAAGGCGCACCAAGGCGACGAUCCUUAGCUGGUCUGAGAGGAUGAUCAGCCACACUGGGACUGAGACACGGCCCAGACUCCUACGGGAGGCAGCAGUGGGGAAUAUUGGACAAUGGGCGAAAGCCUGAUCCAGCAAUGCCGCGUGAGUGAUGAAGGCCUUAGGGUUGUAAAGCUCUUUUACCCGGGAUGAUAAUGACAGUACCGGGAGAAUAAGCUCCGGCUAACUCCGUGCCAGCAGCCGCGGUAAU